rnacentral:rRNA from 1 species
CGGGGAGGCAGCAGUGGGGAAUAUUGCACAAUGGGCGGAAGCCUGAUGCAGCAACGCCGCGUGCGGGAUGACGGCCUUCGGGUUGUAAACCGCUUUCAGCAGGGACGAAGCGCGAGUGACGGUACCUGCAGAAGAAGCACCGGCUAACUACGUGCCAGCAGCCGCGGUGAUACGUAGGGUGCGAGCGUUGUCCGGAUUUAUUGGGCGUAAAGAGCUUGUAGGCGGUUGGUUGCGUCGAAAGUGCAAACUCAGGGCUUAACUCUGAGCCUGCUUUCGAUACGGGCUGACUGGAGGAAGGUAGGGGAGAAUGGAAUUCCCGGUGGAGCGGUGGAAUGCGCAGAUAUCGGGAGGAACACCAGUGGCGAAGGCGGUUCUCUGGACCUUUCCUGACGCUGAGAAGCGAAAGCGUGGGGAGCAAACAGGCUUAGAUACCCUGGUAGUCCACGCUGUAAAUCG